rnacentral:rRNA from 1 species
AUUGAACGAUGGCGGCAUGCUUUACACAUGCAAGUCGAACGGUAACAGGCCUUCGGUGCUGACGAGUGGCGAACGGGUGAGUAAUGCAUCGGAACGUGCCCAAUCGUGGGGGAUAACGUAGCGAAAGUUACGCUAAUACCGCAUAAGCCCUGAGGGGGAAAGCAGGGGAUCGCAAGACCUUGCGCGAAUGGAGCGGCCGAUGUCAGAUUAGCUAGUUGGUGGGGUAAAGGCCUACCAAGGCGACGAUCUGUAGCGGGUCUGAGAGGAUGAUCCGCCACACUGGGACUGAGACACGGCCCAGACUCCUACGGGAGGCAGCAGUGGGGAAUUUUUGGACAAUGGGCGGCAAGCCUGAUCCAGCCAUGCCGCGUGCGGGACGAAGGCC